AUUGAACGCUGGCGGCAUGCCUUACACAUGCAAGUCGAACGGUAACAGGUCUUCGGAUGCUGACGAGUGGCGAACGGGUGAGUAAUACAUCGGAACGUGCCCGAUCGUGGGGGAUAACGGAGCGAAAGCUUUGCUAAUACCGCAUACGAUCUACGGCUGAAAGCAGGGGACCGCAAGGCCUUGCGCGGACGGAGCGGCCGAUGGCAGAUUAGGUAGUUGGUGGGAUAAAAGCUUACCAAGCCGACGAUCUGUAGCUGGUCUGAGAGGACGACCAGCCACACUGGGACUGAGACACGGCCCAGACUCCUACGGGAGGCAGCAGGGGGGAAUUUUGGACAAUAGGCGAAAGCCUGAUCCAGCCAUGCCGCGUGCAGGAUGAAGGCCUUCGGGGUGUAAACUGCUUUUGUACGGAACGAAAAGACUCUUUCUAAUAAAGAGGGUCCAUGACGGUACCGUAAGAAUAAGCACCGGCUAACUACGUG
rnacentral:rRNA from 1 species